rnacentral:rRNA from 1 species
GAAAAGUACGUGCGAGGGGGCGGGGGAGUGGGGGGGGUGUUAGCGUUUGUCGGAAUGAUUGGGGGUGAAGGGGUGGUAGGCGGCCCGGUAAGUCCGCUGGGAAAGUCGGGGGCUCAACCCGCGAAAGGCGGUGGAGACUGGUGGGCUUGAGUACGGAAGAGGCGAGUGGAAUUCCUGGUGUAGCGGUGAAAUGCGCAGAUAUCAGGAGGAACACCGAUUGCGAAGGCAGCUCGCUGGGACGUAACUGACGCUGAGACGCGAAAGCGUGGGGAGCAAACAGGAUUAGAUACCCUUGUAGUC